rnacentral:lncRNA from 1 species
GGCCUCCCAUAUCCCCAAAUAGCAUCUUGGCACCUCACAAAUGGGAGAAACAUCGGUUAGGUUUUAUCUGAAAGGCAAUAGAAUUCUCAAACAUAUAUGAAGUCAGCAUAUUAUAACAAGUCACUUGUUUUUUUCCUUCUGUGAGAAAUCAAUUAAAAAAAUGGAGAAGUACGGGGAAAGAAACAAUGAAAAUUGAUGAGUUCCCCAUAACCGUUUAAGUUCCAGUGAUUUACAUAACUCUUCUGGGCUUUGAUUUCAUCACUGUAAAAUGGACAAACUUGUAGUAGUUUUCUAGAAGAUUAAAUGGGGGGCAGUAAGUCAAGUGCUUAGGAUCGUGUCUGGCACUUACUAGUUCAUGCUCAUGACCAUUUUUAACAGCAUCUAGUGUCUCUAUAAUUGUGCCUCCCAGCAGUCCUUUCCAGCCAGGUCUCAACCCAACAGGAUAAGGCUGCUCUCAUGGUGUGGUGGGCAGAGUGAGCUGUAGAAUCCAGUUGCAGCUCAGCGACUUACUUUCUAGGUCCAUGGGCAGUGACCUACCCCCUCUAGGCUCUUCUACUUCCUCACCUAUAAAGUGUGGGGGGUGUUACUACUUGCUUUAUAGAGUGAUUACAAAUAUUAAAAGAAAUAACUUGUGUAAAACUCAGUGUACAAAACCUUUAGCCAUGAAGGGACUCAAAACUGUUACCUUUAUUUCACCCUUUUCCCCUCAUUUGUAAUGUUUUUAAAUGGUCUGUGGCAGGAAGCUAAUUCGUUUCUUAUGCUAAUAGUUCAAUUAAUGCAGUGCUCUUUUGAGAAGCUCAGCUCAAUUUACAUAGCUAGCAAUAUUCAGCUAAACCCCUUAUACCUGUCUGAUUUGGGGUUCACACUGAUGAACAGAGUUUUAUAUAUAUUUCCUGUCUUAUAUAAUACAAUUCUCCUUGAAAAAGAAGGCACCGGUUCGUUUUAAAAGACUGGAUCUCUGUUACCUACAGUAAAGUAGCCAAGUUGGGCUGACCACCAGCCUAAUGAGUUUCUGUUGGAUUGGUUCCACUUAGUCUGUUUCAUGGCCUAGGUCAGACAGCUCACUAAUGGAUGCACUUAACGAUGCCACUUUAGUCCAGAUGGUGUGACUGAAGAGGCUCAAUUUCACUCCUGGUAAAAGUGACCCAGAGGCACUCUUUGCUGAUGAUAUUAGGGGCAUGGUCUUUGUAUUGGAAAGACAUUGUCUCUCCUUCUCCGACCCCAUAAUGCAAGAAAAUUUAAUUCUAAUAGAAAGAACAGGGCCCAAGUGUUGUAGUAAUAGGAGUUUAUACUCUCAUUUGAGAAAUUUUGUAUUCCUGGGGUAAAUGAGAUCAAUUUUGGCUUAUGAUGACAGUGUUCCUUAUGUUUUUUAGAUGUCAGAGAAAGUGUGACAACAAAGCAAAACUUUGCGGUUACUGUAGGGAGUGGGGGUGGAGACUAAAACGAGAAGGAAACAUACACGAUUAUUUGAAAUUGCAUUUUCAAGAUUACCAGUGAAGCAGAACUUCUUUUCAUAUAUAUUGACUUUCACAAUUUCUCCUUCAGCAAAUUAUAUAUUCAUAUCCUGUGACCAUUUUUUUAAUCAGAUUGUAACGAUUUUUUUUCUUAUUGUAGCAACUAUUUAUAUAUCUUGGAUAUUAAUUCCUUAUUAGUUAUAAAUGCUGUAUUUAUAAUAAAGAAUUUCCUCUUAAAAAAAGAAGACAGAAGAAUUGAGUUUGAUAGAUUGUUUUAAUUUUCAUGUGUUAGGUCUUGAGAAAUAAAUGCAGCAUCAAAAGUAUAAAUAUAUUUUACAAAGGAUUGGAAAACCAAGUAUCAAUCAAUUAUAUUGUAAAAGGUUUCAAAUUUUUAAAUGGAUAGAAAAAUCUGUUUGGACUUUGGGUCACCAGCUAUUAAAUACUUAAUGUUUAGCUCUGAAAAUAGCAAAUCACCUACACAGUUUUAAAACCUAUAUUAUUUUCUUUAAUCAUACUUAAAAUAUUUUGAUCUUUUGUUAGUAUUUUGUAUUUGUUACUAUAUGUAUUUAAGCAUCUUUAGCCCUAAUACAAGUUUGGAGGCUCAGAAGUUACUCGGGAAGAGAGAAAAAUAUAUUUGAAAAAGUCUAAGUUGUACUCCAAGAAAGUGUUUGCAAUCGUUGUUUCCACCAAAUGGUGGAACUGUUAUUGGUGUACCUGUUUCCUACCCCUUCACCAUCAUUAGAUAUUUUUAUUCUUUCGUUUUUAGCAAUGUGAUAGGCAAAAUAUCUCCUUGUAGUGUGGACUUAUUUCUUUGGUUAUCACUGAGAUAGAAUGUCUUUUCUAAUGGCUAUAGCUAUUUGUAGUUCUCCUUAUGUGAUGUUUAUUUGCAUUCGUUUCUCACUUUUCCUUUGGGUUGUUGGUCUCAUUUUAAUUAAUUUCUAGGCUCUUCUUAAAGUAAAUGAAACAAAAAUUGUACCAUGGCUAUGUUUAGCACCCACCCGGCUAACUCACUUUGCAUUAGUAAUUGCUUGAGAAGCCUAUACAGCUUAACCUUUUCAUAUUUCUAAUCAUUGUUUCUCUUCUUCCCUAAUUUAACCAUCCCACCAUUAUAGUCAGCAGGUUAGGUGGCAAAUAUUGGAGGAUGAAUGGAAAUAAAUAUGAAUGAUUUCUCAUAUGAGCUAAGUGGUUAACCUAUACCUUCUCAUGAACAGUCAGUAUACUACAGUAAUUCCAAAUCUUAAGAAAUAGGAAUUGUUUUCCAGGUGAAAAAAAUAAGAUUCAGUGAAGGUUGAGAAAUGAGCCCAAGAUGAACAAAGUGAAAGGAGAUCUUAAGUUUGUCUGAUAAUACCAAAAGCCUGGGCUCCUUCCACCAAUCCAUGUUUUCUGCAGAAACAUUUCUAUUAACCUAACAGCACAAAUUAGCUAGUUUACAUUCAGGCCUGAGAGAAGAAGAAAUGCAGAAAGAGGCAAAACUGGGGCUUAGGUUUAUCUAUCUCAGGGCUUGGUUGGGGACUAGAGGAGGGAGGACAUGGCUCAUGAUAAGAGGGUUAGUCACCCUUGGAUUAACUUGGGUGAAGGAAGGAAAAAUGGAAAAGGCAAUUUCAAAAGUACAGAGGAUGGGGUGCCCGUAUCAUUGAGCUGGAGUUUACCAACAGAGAGGAAAAAGAGACACUGUACAAGUAUAAAUGUGAAUGCACUUCAUUGUUCAGGAACUAUCAAAGAAACAGCAUCAACAGAAUAACAACAGUAACGUGGACUGGAGGGCAGUUAAGAUGAAAGGUCCCUCAUUAUGGGAUGCCAUUCAGACAGUAGAGGGGUUUUUGUUUUUUGGGGGGGGUUGUUUUUGUUUUUUUAAAGCAGGAGUUCCCACUAUGAUGCAGUGGGUUACAAACCUGACUGCAGUGGUUCAGGUUGCUGCAGAGGUGUGAGUUUGUUCCCCACUCAGCACACUGGGUUAAAGGAUCCGGCAUUGCUGCAGUUGUGGGGAUAGGUUGCAGCUGUGACUUAGCUUCAAUGCCUGGCCUGGGAACCUCCAUGUGCUGCGGGUGCAGCC